rnacentral:rRNA from 1 species
UACGUAGGGUGCGAGCGUUAAUCGGAAUUACUGGGCGUAAAGCGUGCGCAGGCGGUUUGUUAAGUCUGAUGUGAAAGCCCCGGGCUCAACCUGGGAACUGCAUUGGAAGCUGGCAAGCUCGAGUAUGGCAGAGGGGGGUGGAAUUCCGCGUGUAGCAGUGAAAUGCGUAGAGAUGCGGAGGACGCACGAUGGCGAAGGCAGCCCCCUGGGCCAAUACUGACGCUCAGGCACGAAAGCGUGGGGAGCAAACAGG